rnacentral:rRNA from 1 species
UGGGGAUGGACUCGCGGCCUAUCAGCUUGUUGGUGAGGUAAUGGCUCACCAAGGCGACGACGGGUAGCCGGCCUGAGAGGGUGACCGGCCACACUGGGACUGAGACACGGCCCAGACUCCUACGGGAGGCAGCAGUGGGGAAUAUUGCACAAUGGGCGAAAGCCUGAUGCAGCAACGCCGCGUGAGGGAUGACGGCCUUCGGGUUGUAAACCUCUUUUAGUAGGGAAGAAGCGAAAGUGACGGUACCUGCAGAAAAAGCACCGGCUAACUACGUGCCAGCAGCCGCGGUAAUACGUAGGGUGCAAGCGUUGUCCGGAAUUAUUGGGCGUAAAGAGCUCGUAGGCGGUUUGUCGCGUCUGCUGUGAAAUCCCGAGGCUCAACCUCGGGCUUGCAGUGGGUACGGGCAGACUAGAGUGCGGUAGGGGAGAUUGGAAUUCCUGGUGUAGCGGUGGAAUGCGCAGAUAUCAGGAGGAACACCGAUGGCGAAGGCAGAUCUCUGGGCCGUAACUGACGCUGAGGAGCGAAAGCAUGGGGAGCGAACAGGAUUAGAUACCCUGGUAGUCCAUGCCGUAAACGUUGGGCGCUAGAUGUAGGGACCUU